rnacentral:lncRNA from 1 species
CGCGAGGUUUGUCGGAGGCGCGUGACUUGUCGAAGCACAACCGGACACCGAGGCCUGCCGGCGGUAGUGGCUGCACAGGGGCUCAGUCCUGGAGGAUGACUUCGCGCUGGGCUCGGCCAUAGCCGUCGUGUCCGGACAGCCGACCAGCAGAGGCUCACGCGAGUGGCCAGAGAGAGGGCAGCAGAGGCUCAGCACGGCUGCUGCACGAUGGCCAGGUAGGGAGAGGAGGAUGGAGUAGUUGCCGAUCUACUCGCAUGGCACCUGGGAACGCCCAGGCACGAAGAAAAU